UCCUGCUGUUUUACUUAGCGUCCAGUUGCUCUGGCAAACUUAGCUGGAAAGGAAGGAAGAUUGCUACUGGAAAACGCUGUGUUGACUGUCCAGACUGUCCAGUCCUCGGCCACCUUAGGAACCUUGCUGUCUGUCACUCUACGGGACAUCAUGAAAGUUUGUUGCCACGGUGAGAUCAUGUUCACUGGACUUGUAGGUGUGAAGAAACAGCUCUUCUCACUCCACUAUUAAGACACAAAGUUUUCCUAGGUUGGUGAGGUGGUGUUGUGACUGUCCUCUAAGAUAAGUGACAGCCAUCUUGAGGAAUUCAUCUGCGCCCCUUGGGAAGGGACCAUCGUCUGGGCUUGUUGACUGUUCACAGCCCCUCGUGGAGGGGUGGGGGGAGCCAUGAGAGCUUCAACUGGAGGUUGAAGAAGGGCAGGAAUUAUGUCAGGAUGUACGCUUGUCCCUGAUUGGAUGAACAACACUGAAAGUGCAUUGCCUUGGGUUUGGCCUUUAUAGGCACCUGACUGAUUUAAUCCAGUGCCACUCUUCGGGAAUCCAGUCCCAGCUAUGGACCUGGCCAGUGUCGGUCUUCCUGGACACUAUCAAAUAAAGCUUGCUUUAACUGUAUAGUCAUGGACUUGGUCCUUCUUCUA
rnacentral:lncRNA from 1 species